UCCACGGGGAGUCCGCGGGCCGUGGCCGGGCGUUGGUGGCCCGGAGCCCUACGAGGGCCGCGGCACGUCCUGGCCCUCCGGAGCUCCCUCUCCCCGCUGCCAGCAGAGCCGGUCCCAGCAGCCCUGGGGCAGAGUUACCCAACCCGUCUGCCCGCUCCCGCCGCUUUCCCAACCAGUCCGGAGCAGCUCCGGCUCUUUUUGCCUUCACCCUCUCAAGAGCCCUUUCUACGAGGCCAUUUACAUCAUUUUGGUGGUUUUGCUCAAGGAAUUGUAAUUCCGUUUCAAAGGAAAGAGGGAGAGAAGCAACCGAUGCCAGAGGACGAGUGGUGCAGUAAUAACAGCGUCGGAGCGGGAGGAAGAGCCGUGCCCCGUGGCCAGAGCAGGGACGGAGCCCCCGGACCCCAAAAGCCCCCGUGGAGCGCUGCUGAGGACCCCCAGGAGACCCCUGGGAACCCGGUGAGGGUCAUAACCCGCUUUUAUACUGGGGAAACUGAGGCACGGGCGGGUACAGAGGAAUUGGGGACCAUCCAAGCACGGAGCAGCUGGGAUGACCCUGGAGCUGGAGCUGCUCCAGGAGAGGCGCGAACUCAUCUGGGAUCACCUGCCCCGUGAUUCAUCGCUCCAGCGCUGCUCCACAUAGUUUCCAAGGAGGUUUCAUUGGACACGGGCACACACAUCCCCACGAACCCAUCGGCAUCAGCGUGACACCGGUGACCAGUUAUUGACUCUGCCCUGUCACCCAAAGCACCGGAAAACCUGGAGCUUGGCUGGACCCAGCCCUCGCACAGGGCCGGGAAUAGAAAACCGGUCGGAGAACUUUUUCUCCAGCAGCCGCAGAGCGAGCGCGUGACCUUGGGCUGAGCUGGGCUGAGCCUUUCCUCGGCUCUGCCGAGAGGGAGGGGGCUCGCCCAUCCCAAACUGCUCCGUGAAGGGACAGGGAGGAGAGGAUUGUGCCCUUCCUGCCUUGGGGGUGGUGGGAACCCAUCCUACUUCUGCUCCUCUGCAGAUCUCAUAGUGCUGGAGCGAUUUCCAGCCCGUCCUAAAGCCCAGCUGCACCCCCAGGUCACGGACCCCUCUCCCCAGAACAGGCAGAGGGAUUCCCCGGGGGUCGGCCUGGGUGUCCCUGGGCUGGGCUGCCCCACAGCCCGGCUUCCCACCCCUCUGGCCAGGCUGAUCCCCACGGAACGGACGGAAAAAGGGAGAUUAAAUUAGAUUAGCUGGAGCCGCCUAA